rnacentral:rRNA from 1 species
GACGAACCGUGCGAACGUUGUUCGGAAUCACUGGGCUUAAAGGGCGCGUAGGCGGGCUAUCAAGUCCGGGGUGAAAUCCUCCAGCUCAACUGGAGAACGGCCUCGGAUACUGAUGGUCUCGAGGGGGAUAGGGGCACGCGGAACUGUGGGUGGAGCGGUGAAAUGCGUUGAUAUCCAUAGGAACUCCGGUGGCGAAAGCGGCGUGCUGGAUCCCUUCUGACGCUGAGGCGCGAAAGCCAGGGGAGCAAACGGG